rnacentral:rRNA from 1 species
UACGUAGGGUGCAAACGUUGCUCGGAAUUAUUGGGCGUAAAGCGCACGUAGGCGGUCCAGCAAGUCGGGAGUGAAAUCCCUCGGCUCAACCGAGGAAGUGCUUUCGAAACUACUGGGCUUGAAUACUGGAGAGGGUUGCGGAAUUCCCGGUGUAGAGGUGAAAUUCGUAGAUAUCGGGAGGAACACCAGUGGCGAAGGCGGAGACCUGGGCCGAUACUGACGCUGAGGUGCGAAAGCGUGGGGAGCAAACAGG